rnacentral:rRNA from 1 species
AACGAAUUCGCCCUUAGAGUUUGAUCCUGGCUCAGGACGAACGCUGGCGGCGUGCUUAACACAUGCAAGUCGAACGAGAAGAGAUGAGAAGCUUGCUUCUUAUUGAUUCGAGUGGCAAACGGGUGAGUAACGCGUAAGCAACCUGCCCUCUAGAUGGGGACAACAGCUGGAAACGGCUGCUAAUACCGAAUACGUUUUUUCUGUCGCAUGGCAGAGAGAAGAAAGGGAGGCUCUUCGGAGCUUUCGCUGGAGGAGGGGCUUGCGUCUGAUUAGCUAGUUGGAGGGGUAACGGCCCACCAAGGCGACGAUCAGUAGCCGGUCUGAGAGGAUGAACGGCCACAUUGGGACUGAGACACGGCCCAGACUCCUACGGGAGGCAGCAGUGGGGAAUCUUCCGCAAUGGACGAAAGUCUGACGGAGCAACGCCGCGUGAACGAUGACGGCCUUCGGGUUGUAAAGUUCUGUUAUACGGGACGAAUGGUACGACGGUCAAUACCCGUCGUAAGUGACGGUACCGUAAGAGAAAGCCACGGCUAACUACGUGCCAGCAGCCGCGGUAAUACGUAGGUGGCAAGCGUUGUCCGGAAUUAUUGGGCGUAAAGGGCGCGCAGGCGGCGUCGUAAGUCGGUCUUAAAAGUGCGGGGCUUAACCCCGUGAGGGGACCGAAACUGCGAUGCUAGAGUAUCGGAGAGGAAAGCGGAAUUCCUAGUGUAGCGGUGAAAUGCGUAGAUAUUAGGAGGAACACCAGUGGCGAAAGCGGCUUUCUGGACGACAACUGACGCUGAGGCGCGAAAGCCAGGGGAGCAAACGGGAUUAGAUACCCUGGUAGUCCACGCCGUAAACGAUGAGUGCUAAGUGUUGGAGGGUUUCCGCCCUUCAGUGCUGCAGCUAACGCGUUAAGCACUCCGCCUGGGGAGUACGGUCGCAAGACUGAAACUCAAAGGA